CAUAGAUAUAUACACAUAUAUAUAAUUAUAUGUUGUUUACACAGAAACUUAGUAUGUGUAUUAUUUCACAUGUGUUGUACUGGAAUAUCAUCUUACAACAUAGUUAAUAAUAUAUGUCAUAAAAAUAAGAAACGUACUAUAUCAAACUUACUGUUUAUAUUGGGAUCCAUAUUUUCAGCUUCAUUAUUUCAUGCUGUAUAUGAUUAUUCGAUAUAUUACAUUUCAUUGGAUUUGCCAUUUUAUCUAUUUGUAUAUUUAUCAGUUUUAUUUAUUUAUUCUUUUUUUUCAGUACUAGUUAUGUUUUUUGUACUAAUUAAAGAGUCAGAUUAAUCGACAUAAACAUUUAUACAUAUGCAUAUAUAUUAUGUAUAUUUAUGUAAACUCUUAUUUUUUCAACUACAUAUGUAUAUACACAUUAUUGUAUGUGUAUAAUAGCAUGUACACAGUUUGUUAUCUUAUAUAUUAUUAUUUAUAAUACUUUAUAUUAUUUUGUUUUUUAUUAUAUUUAUAAUUAAUUUUUUUUUUUUUUAAUUUUGUUAAAUUUGUUAACUAUACCGAUCUGUAAUUUUUAUAUAUUUUUUUAAAUAUUGAUUUUUUACUUGUUUUCUCGAUUUAAAAUUGACUUUUGUCUCAUUUGUUUUACUAAUUUUUUGGUUUUACUUUUUUUUUUAUUUAUUAACUCAUGUAUUAACUAAUUCAUUAACUAAUUCAUUAACUUAUUAAUUUAUGUAUUCAUUCACUUAAGUAUACAUACAUACACCUAUUUAUUUUUCCGAUUUAUAAUUCAAGAAUUGAUUUUUUUAUUGUCUUCUAAUAUAUGUAUAUACUCUCUAUUUAAUCAAAAAUAUAUAAUAAUAUUAUAUUUUACAAUGAAAUGAGGGUACUCACGCUUGUAGCUUUGUUGUUUUUAUAAAGUUGUAUGCUAUCGUAACACAGUAAUGUACAAAUAAACGUGUUUAAAAAUAAAAAUAAAAGUUAAAA
ensembl:lncRNA